GUCCUACGGGAGGCAGCAGUGAGGAAUAUUGGUCAAUGGGCGGGAGCCUGAACCAGCCAAGCCGCGUGAAGGAAGAAGGCGCCAGGCGUCGUAAACUUCUUUUGUCGGGGAACAAAGGGCGCCACGCGUGGCGUUGUGAGUGUACCCGAAGAAAAAGCAUCGGCUAACUCCGUGCCAGCAGCCGCGGUAAUACGGAGGAUGCGAGCGUUAUCCGGAUUUAUUGGGUUUAAAGGGUGCGUAGGCGGUCCGGCAAGUCAGCGGUAAAAGCCCG
rnacentral:rRNA from 1 species